rnacentral:rRNA from 1 species
UAGCCUUGACAUACUACAGAAUUUGACAGAGAUGUUGGAGUGCCUUCGGGAGCUGUAAUACAGGUGCUGCACGGCUGUCGUCAGCUCGUGUCGUGAGAUGUUGGGUUAAGUCCCGCAACGAGCGCAACCCUCGUCCUUAGUUACUAACGGUUCGGCCGAGGACUCUAAGGAGACUGCCUUCGUAAGGAGGAGGAAGGUGAGGACGACGUCAAGUCAUCAUGGCCCUUAUGGCUAGGGCUACACACGUGCUACAAUGGGGCGUACAGAGUGUUGCGAUACCGCGAGGUGGAGCUAAUCACUUAAAGCGUCUCUCAGUUCGGAUAGCAGUCUGCAACUCGACUGCUUGAAGCUGGAAUCACUAGUAAUCGUAGAUCAGCAAUGCUACGGUGAAUACGUUCCCGGGUCU